rnacentral:rRNA from 1 species
GGGUUGUGAGGUUAAGCGACUAAGCGUACACGGUGGAUGCCCUGGCAGUCAGAGGCGAUGAAGGGCGUGCUAAUCUGCGAUAAGCGCCGGUAAGGUGAUAUGAACCGUUAUAACCGGCGAUACCCGAAUGGGGAAACCCAGUGUGACUCGUCACACUAUCAUUAACUGAAUCCAUAGGUUAAUGAGGCGAACCGGGGGAACUGAAACAUCUAAGUACCCCGAGGAAAAGAAAUCAACCGAGAUUCCCCCAGUAGCGGCGAGCGAACGGGGAGGAGCCCAGAGCCUGAAUCAGCAUGUGUGUUAGUGGAAGCGUCUGGAAAGGCGCGCGAUACAGGGUGACAGCCCCGUACACAAAAGCGCAUGUGCUGUGAGCUCGAUGAGUAGGGCGGGACACGUGGUAUCCUGUCUGAAUAUGGGGGGACCAUCCUCCAAGGCUAAAUACUCCUGACUGACCGAUAGUGAACCAGUACCGUGAGGGAAAGGCGAAAAGAACCCCGGCGAGGGGAGUGAAAAAGAACCUGAAACCGUGUACGUACAAGCAGUGGGAGCCCCACCACCAAAGCGUUUCGCUUUGUGUGGUGCACAAAGAAGCGUAACGACAGCACUGAAUGACGGUUAACGGAGCGCAAGCGACGUUCAACAUACAAAGUCAAGCAGUGGAGCGCUUUGGGGUGGGGUGACUGCGUACCUUUUGUAUAAUGGGUCAGCGACUUAUAUUCUGUAGCAAGGUUAACCGCAUAGGGGAGCCGGAGGGAAACCGAGUCUUAACCGGGCGUUAAGUUGCAGGGUAUAGACCCGAAACCCGGUGAUCUAGCCAUGGGCAGGUUGAAGGUUGGGUAACACUAACUGGAGGACCGAACCGACUAAUGUUGAAAAAUUAGCGGAUGACCUGUGGCUGGGGGUGAAAGGCCAAUCAAACCGGGAGAUAGCUGGUUCUCCCCGAAAGCUAUUUAGGUAGCGCCUCGUGAACUCAUCUCCGGGGGUAGAGCACUGUUUCGGCUAGGGGGCCAUCCCGGCUUACCAACCCGAUGCAAACUGCGAAUACCGGAGAAUGUUAUCACGGGAGACACACGGCGGGUGCUAACGUCCGUCGUGAAGAGGGAAACAACCCAGACCGCCAGCUAAGGUCCCAAAGUCAUGGUUAAGUGGGAAACGAUGUGGGAAGGCCCAGACAGCCAGGAUGUUGGCUUAGAAGCAGCCAUCAUUUAAAGAAAGCGUAAUAGCUCACUGGUCGAGUCGGCCUGCGCGGAAGAUGUAACGGGGCUAAACCAUGCACCGAAGCUGCGGCAGCGACGCUGAUGCGUUGUUGGGUAGGGGAGCGUUCUGUAAGCCUGCGAAGGUGGCCUGUGAGGGUUGCUGGAGGUAUCAGAAGUGCGAAUGCUGACAUAAGUAACGAUAAAGCGGGUGAAAAGCCCGCUCGCCGGAAGACCAAGGGUUCCUGUCCAACGUUAAUCGGGGCAGGGUGAGUCGACCCCUAAGGCGAGGCCGAAAGGCGUAGUCGAUGGGAAACGGGUUAAUAUUCCCGUACUUGGUGUUACUGCGAAGGGGGGACGGAGAAGGCUAUGUUGGCCGGGCGACGGUUGUCCCGGUUUAAGCGUGUAGGUGUGUGUUCCAGGUAAAUCCGGUUCACUUUAACACUGAGGCGUGAUGACGAGGCACUACGGUGCUGAAGCAACAAAUGCCCUGCUUCCAGGAAAAGCCUCUAAGCAUCAGGUAACAUCAAAUCGUACCCCAAACCGACACAGGUGGUCAGGUAGAGAAUACCAAGGCGCUUGAGAGAACUCGGGUGAAGGAACUAGGCAAAAUGGUGCCGUAACUUCGGGAGAAGGCACGCUGACACGUAGGUGAAGUGAUUUACUCAUGGAGCUGAAGUCAGUCGAAGAUACCAGCUGGCUGCAACUGUUUAUUAAAAACACAGCACUGUGCAAACACGAAAGUGGACGUAUACGGUGUGACGCCUGCCCGGUGCCGGAAGGUUAAUUGAUGGGGUCAGCGCAAGCGAAGCUCCUGAUCGAAGCCCCGGUAAACGGCGGCCGUAACUAUAACGGUCCUAAGGUAGCGAAAUUCCUUGUCGGGUAAGUUCCGACCUGCACGAAUGGCGUAAUGAUGGCCAGGCUGUCUCCACCCGAGACUCAGUGAAAUUGAACUCGCUGUGAAGAUGCAGUGUACCCGCGGCAAGACGGAAAGACCCCGUGAACCUUUACUAUAGCUUGACACUGAACAUUGAGCCUUGAUGUGUAGGAUAGGUGGGAGGCUUUGAAGCGUGGACGCCAGUCUGCGUGGAGCCAACCUUGAAAUACCACCCUUUAAUGUUUGAUGUUCUAACGUGGACCCGUAAUCCGGGUUGCGGACAGUGUCUGGUGGGUAGUUUGACUGGGGCGGUCUCCUCCUAAAGAGUAACGGAGGAGCACGAAGGUUGGCUAAUCCUGGUCGGACAUCAGGAGGUUAGUGCAAUGGCAUAAGCCAGCUUGACUGCGAGCGUGACGGCGCGAGCAGGUGCGAAAGCAGGUCAUAGUGAUCCGGUGGUUCUGAAUGGAAGGGCCAUCGCUCAACGGAUAAAAGGUACUCCGGGGAUAACAGGCUGAUACCGCCCAAGAGUUCAUAUCGACGGCGGUGUUUGGCACCUCGAUGUCGGCUCAUCACAUCCUGGGGCUGAAGUAGGUCCCAAGGGUAUGGCUGUUCGCCAUUUAAAGUGGUACGCGAGCUGGGUUUAGAACGUCGUGAGACAGUUCGGUCCCUAUCUGCCGUGGGCGCUGGAGAACUGAGGGGGGCUGCUCCUAGUACGAGAGGACCGGAGUGGACGCAUCACUGGUGUUCGGGUUGUCAUGCCAAUGGCACUGCCCGGUAGCUAAAUGCGGAAGAGAUAAGUGCUGAAAGCAUCUAAGCACGAAACUUGCCCCGAGAUGAGUUCUCCCUGAGACUUAAAGUCUCCUGAAGGAACGUUGAAGACGACGACGUUGAUAGGCCGGGUGUGUAAGCGCAGCGAUGCGUUGAGCUAACCGGUACUAAUGAACCGUGAGGCUUAACCUUACAACGCCGAAG